UCACGAAAUACGACCAAAACCACCCCUAAACAGAUCUACCCCCUCAGAGCUCCCAAACUAUCCUCCAUUCCUCUCGCUCACGUCGACUCCUCACUCACUUUCGCGGAACCGCACUCAUGUUUCAUGGAGCAGGAGACGCGAACUUGGAGUUGAAUUGAUGUCCGACAGAGAUAGAGGCAGGAGCUACAUGAGCCUUUCUUUGACAACCUGUUCAGUGAGACGAGCGCAUCUAAGCCGUGCGUUUUUUGGCCAUAUCGUUCUCAGUCUGCGCACAUACUUCUACUGGCAAACAGUAGGCUACUUGCAGACGCGAGAGGAGGAGCGGUGUAGUGUAUAGACAGCGGGACCUUAUUUUGGUACCUUAUCAUUUUUCACGUCUUCUAAGAUUCCAAUAACCUACGCGGGACUGACAUCUUUCGUCACUGGAACUGUGUUAAGAAAUAAGAGGCGUAAGAGAUCUAUCUAUCUAUCUAUCUAUCUAUCUAUCUACUCUGAGCUGCGCGAGGGUUCGGAAUAUCGGGGUGUAGACUUAGUUUCAAGACAGCUCUCCCGCUGCGCAUGCUACACCCGGAGUAAGGUUAUGAGGGAUCGGAGCUGAAGAUGGAGCUUUUCUGGAUAUUGUUAUUUUCUAUCAUCCGCUCGUAUGCGCGAGGGCAAGGAGUGUACGGGGAGAGGGUGCAAAAGGGGAGCCCACCUUCAGAGAGAGCUUUGCAAAGCUGGGAGAACUUUGAUCCAUUGCCAAAGAGGCUACACCUGUGUUGGCGCUGACAGAAGCUGCAGACAUUGAGUCCAGAGACCAGGUGACCAAGCUGCUGCAAAUGGAGAAGGCAACAAAAGUGAGC